AUUGAACGCUGGCGGCAGGCCUAACACAUGCAAGUCGAACGGUAACAGGAAGAAGCUUGCUUCUUUGCUGACGAGUGGCGGACGGGUGAGUAAUGUCUGGGAAACUGCCUGAUGGAGGGGGAUAACUACUGGAAACGGUAGCUAAUACCGCAUAAUGUCGCAAGACCAAAGAGGGGGACCUUCGGGCCUCUUGCCAUCGGAUGUGCCCAGAUGGGAUUAGCUAGUAGGUGGGGUAACGGCUCACCUAGGCGCCGAUCCCUAGCUGGUCUGAGAGGAUGACCAGCCACACUGGAACUGAGACACGGUCCAGACUCCUACGGGAGGCAGCAGUGGGGAAUAUUGCACAAUGGGCGCAAGCCUGAUGCAGCUAUGCCGCGUGUAUGAAGAAGGCCUUCGGGUUGUAAAGUACUUUCAGCGGGGAGGAAGGGAGUAAAGUUAAUACCUUUGCUCAUUGACGUUACCCGCAGAAGAAGCACCGGCUAACUCCGUG
rnacentral:rRNA from 1 species